rnacentral:rRNA from 1 species
AAUCCAUAGGUUAAUGAGGCGAACCGGGGGAACUGAAACAUCUAAGUACCCCGAGGAAAAGAAAUCAACCGAGAUUCCCCCAGUAGCGGCGAGCGAACGGGGAGGAGCCCAGAGCCUGAAUCAGCAUGUGUGUUAGUGGAAGCGUCUGGAAAGGCGCGCGAUACAGGGUGACAGCCCCGUACACAAAAGCGCAUGUGCUGUGAGCUCGAUGAGUAGGGCGGGACACGUGGUAUCCUGUCUGAAUAUGGGGGGACCAUCCUCCAAGGCUAAAUACUCCUGACUGACCGAUAGUGAACCAGUACCGUGAGGGAAAGGCGAAAAGAACCCCGGCGAGGGGAGUGAAAAAGAACCUGAAACCGUGUACGUACAAGCAGUGGGAGCACAGGUUUACCUGUGUGACUGCGUACCUUUUGUAUAAUGGGUCAGCGACUUAUAUUCUGUAGCAAGGUUAACCGAAUAGGGGAGCCGGAGGGAAACCGAGUCUUAAUUGGGCGUUAAGUUGCAGGGUAUAGACCCGAAACCCGGUGAUCUAGCCAUGGGCAGGUUGAAGGUUGGGUAACACUAACUGGAGGACCGAACCGACUAAUGUUGAAAAAUUAGCGGAUGACCUGUGGCUGGGGGUGAAAGGCCAAUCAAACCGGGAGAUAGCUGGUUCUCCCCGAAAGCUAUUUAGGUAGCGCCUCGUGAAUUCAUCUCCGGGGGUAGAGCACUGUUUCGGCUAGGGGGCCAUCCCGGCUUACCAACCCGAUGCAAACUGCGAAUACCGGAGAAUGUUAUCACGGGAGACACACGGCGGGUGCUAACGUCCGUCGUGAAGAGGGAAACAACCCAGACCGCCAGCUAAGGUCCCAAAGUCAUGGUUAAGUGGGAAACGAUGUGGGAAGGCCCAGACAGCCAGGAUGUUGGCUUAGAAGCAGCCAUCAUUUAAAGAAAGCGUAAUAGCUCACUGGUCGAGUCGGCCUGCGCGGAAGAUGUAACGGGGCUAAACCAUGCACCGAAGCUGCGGCAGCGACGCUUAUGCGUUGUUGGGUAGGGGAGCGUUCUGUAAGCCUGCGAAGGUGGCCUGUGAGGGUUGCUGGAGGUAUCAGAAGUGCGAAUGCUGACAUAAGUAACGAUAAAGCGGGUGAAAAGCCCGCUCGCCGGAAGACCAAGGGUUCCUGUCCAACGUUAAUCGGGGCAGGGUGAGUCGACCCCUAAGGCGAGGCCGAAAGGCGUAGUCGAUGGGAAACGGGUUAAUAUUCCCGUACUUGGUGUUACUGCGAAGGGGGGACGGAGAAGGCUAUGUUGGCCGGGCGACGGUUGUCCCGGUUUAAGCGUGUAGGUGUGUGUUCCAGGUAAAUCCGGUUCACUUUAACACUGAGGCGUGACGACGAGGCACUACGGUGCUGAAGCAACAAAUGCCCUGCUUCCAGGAAAAGCCUCUAAGCAUCAGGUAACAUCAAAUCGUACCCCAAACCGACACAGGUGGUCAGGUAGAGAAUACCAAGGCGCUUGAGAGAACUCGGGUGAAGGAACUAGGCAAAAUGGUGCCGUAACUUCGGGAGAAGGCACGCUGACACGUAGGUGAAGUGAUUUACUCAUGGAGCUGAAGUCAGUCGAAGAUACCAGCUGGCUGCAACUGUUUAUUAAAAACACAGCACUGUGCAAACACGAAAGUGGACGUAUACGGUGUGACGCCUGCCCGGUGCCGGAAGGUUAAUUGAUGGGGUCAGCGCAAGCGAAGCUCCUGAUCGAAGCCCCGGUAAACGGCGGCCGUAACUAUAACGGUCCUAAGGUAGCGAAAUUCCUUGUCGGGUAAGUUCCGACCUGCACGAAUGGCGUAAUGAUGGCCAGGCUGUCUCCACCCGAGACUCAGUGAAAUUGAACUCGCUGUGAAGAUGCAGUGUACCCGCGGCAAGACGGAAAGACCCCGUGAACCUUUACUAUAGCUUGACACUGAACAUUGAGCCUUGAUGUGUAGGAUAGGUGGGAGGCUUUGAAGUGUGGACGCCAGUCUGCAUGGAGCCGACCUUGAAAUACCACCCUUUAAUGUUUGAUGUUCUAACGUGGACCCGUUACCCGGGUUGCGGACAGUGUCUGGUGGGUAGUUUGACUGGGGCGGUCUCCUCCUAAAGAGUAACGGAGGAGCACGAAGGUUGGCUAAUCCUGGUCGGACAUCAGGAGGUUAGUGCAAUGGCAUAAGCCAGCUUGACUGCGAGCGUGACGGCGCGAGCAGGUGCGAAAGCAGGUCAUAGUGAUCCGGUGGUUCUGAAUGGAAGGGCCAUCGCUCAACGGAUAAAAGGUACUCCGGGGAUAACAGGCUGAUACCGCCCAAGAGUUCAUAUCGACGGCGGUGUUUGGCACCUCGAUGUCGGCUCAUCACAUCCUGGGGCUGAAGUAGGUCCCAAGGGUAUGGCUGUUCGCCAUUUAAAGUGGUACGCGAGCUGGGUUUAGAACGUCGUGAGACAGUUCGGUCCCUAUCUGCCGUGGGCGCUGGAGAACUGAGGGGGGCUGCUCCUAGUACGAGAGGACCGGAGUGGACGCAUCACUGGUGUUCGGGUUGUCAUGCCAAUGGCACUGCCCGGUAGCUAAAUGCGGAAGAGAUAAGUGCUGAAAGCAUCUAAGCACGAAACUUGCCCCGAGAUGAGUUCUCCCUGAGACUUAAAGUCUCCUGAAGGAACGUUGAAGACGACGACGUUGAUAGGCCGGGUGUGUAAGCGCAGCGAUGCGUUGAGCUAACCGGUACUAAUGAACCGUGAGGCUUAACCUUACAACGCCGAAG